rnacentral:snoRNA from 1 species
AAGCCAGCCAAUAAGUCUGCUUACCUGAAUGUGUUCUGCAGAAACUUAGAGAAAGCUGGCAAUAGUCAAGCCAUGUUACGAGCCUUAAAGACAUUGAAGUCGUUAAGGUCCCUGAAAAUGGCUAUAAGA